rnacentral:lncRNA from 10 species
AGUGUCCAUGAUAGUGAAUCCAUUUUGGUUGUGUUGGAUUUGAGGUGGCAAAGAAAUAAGGAACUGGCAUGUGACUGCGGGAAAUUGGAGCUACAAGACAGGAGUUCAGGUGAAAAGAUAGGACUAGAGUUGGAUGCUGAAACUUGCAGUCACACAAGGACUUGAACCUAGAGCUUUUCUAAAGCCCGUACUCUUUCCAGUACCCUGAGCCAGGGGAGCCAGCGGGCAGAAAUGACGUGUGAGGUACCCUCUCUCUCUUCACUUCCAUGUGAUCUGUUACUCAUUUUGUCAAGACAUCCUGGGUCCCAGACCACUCUUAUUCCCAGGUGUGUGACCUCCUCCUACAGACUACAGUGGGAAAGACACCAUCUCCAGGUGCCAGGUGCUACACAAGAUACUGGCUAUAGCAGCGAACAGGACAGCCCGUCUCAUCCUCAUGGAGGUCACAGGACAAUGAGAAGAAAGACUUUUUUAUUUUUAUUUUUUUGAGACGGAGUUUUGCUCUUGUUGCCGAGGCUGGAGUGCAGUGGUGUGAUCUCGACUCACUGCAACCUCCGCCUCCCAAGUUCAAGCAAUUAUCCUGCCUCAGGCCUCUUGAGUAGCUGGGAUUACAGGCACCUGCCACCACUCCUGGCUAAUUUUUUGUAUUUUUAGUAGAGACAGGGGUUUCAUCAUGUUGGCCAGGCUGGUCUCGAACUCCUGACCUCAGGUGAUCCACCCACCUCGGCCUCCCAAAGUGCAGGGAUUACAGGCAUGAGCCAUCGAACCCGGCCCAAGAAGAAAGACAUUGAACAAGUAAUUACAGGGUAUUGGGUGUUAUGAAAGAAAAGCAUGGUACUGUAUAAUGAGGUCAUCUAAUUUAGUCUGGGGUGACAAGGAAUGCCUACUAAAGAAGGUAUCGUUUAAGACAUACCUGGGGAAUAGCGGUAGUGAAAAUAGAAGCUCCAGAAAUGCAGGGACCAUGGCUGACAUGUUUACCAUGCCAGUGUCUGGCAUGGAAGAGGCCCAAUUCCUUUGGUUGAAAGGAUGAAGUAAUCUAGCUGAAUAAAGGGUGUGUGCGUGCACGCAGGUGUGUUUGUAGUUAACCUUCCUUUAGCUCAGCUUAGGAAACAGCUUUUGUAAAACUGCGUAACUAGUAGUAGGUGAGAGAGGAAUACGAAUGAUAUACACACCAUUAAAGACAACUUACUAACAGCAUGA